rnacentral:tRNA from 1 species
GGGCUCGUAGUAUAGCUUGGUCUAAAGAUAUUUCUUUAUGGAGUAUCUGACUAUGUAUUUCCGCCUUGGGAGUGGAAGACGGGUGUUCAAAUCAUCCCGAGCCCACCA